GAUCAAUAUAAACAAUUUAAAUGACAAAAAAUAUUUAAGUUUUUUACAGAGUUUAGAACUUAGUUUGGAUUUCAGUUGACGAUUCUCCGAUUAUAUAUAGGGAAUGCUGCUGAAUGCAAAACAAAUGUGGUCCUAAAAUGCAAAAGAAUUUUUGUAAAAAGGGAAUUUUUGGCUUUGCGGCUGUUUUGAUGAGAUUUUGGACUUUCUCAAUCAAUCCCUGUGGGCCUUUCCGCUCUUUCCCACCCACUUUUUUUCCACGGUCCAUCCCUCUAUUUUCCAUUUCCUCUUAUUUCUUCCCCAU